GACUACAGCAAUACCACCCUGAUCCAGGAGGCUAAGCAGGGCCUGGCCAGUACUUGGGUGGGAGACUACCUGGGAAUAACAGAUGCUUUCAGCU
rnacentral:rRNA from 10 species